UGGAUAUGAUGACUCAUUAUCUGAGAAUUGCUGAUGAAACCUCCAGAAAAUUCCUCUAGAUAGUCAAGUUCUGAUCCAG
rnacentral:snoRNA from 15 species